UACGUAGGGUGCGAGCGUUGUCCGGAAUUACUGGGCGUAAAGAGCUCGUAGGUGGUUUGUCGCGUUGUUCGUGAAAACUCACAGCUUAACUGUGGGCGUGCGGGCGAUACGGGCAGACUGGAGUACUGCAGGGGAGACUGGAAUUCCUGGUGUAGCGGUGGAAUGCGCAGAUAUCAGGAGGAACACCGGUGGCGAAGGCGGGUUGCUGGGCUGAUACUGACGCUGAGGCGCGAAAGCCAGGGGAGCGAACGGG
rnacentral:rRNA from 1 species